rnacentral:rRNA from 1 species
GAUGAACGCUGGCGGCGUGCCUAAUACAUGCAAGUCGAGCGAAUGGAUUAAGAGCUUGCUCUUAUGAAGUUAGCGGCGGACGGGUGAGUAACACGUGGGUAACCUGCCCAUAAGACUGGGAUAACUCCGGGAAACCGGGGCUAAUACCGGAUAACAUUUUGAACCGCAUGGUUCGAAAUUGAAAGGCGGCUUCGGCUGUCACUUAUGGAUGGACCCGCGUCGCAUUAGCUAGUUGGUGAGGUAACGGCUCACCAAGGCAACGAUGCGUAGCCGACCUGGGAGGGUGAUCGGCCACACUGAGACGGAGACACGGCCCAGACUCCUACGGGAGGCAGCAGUAGGGAAUCUUCCGCAAUGGACGAAAGUCUGACGGAGCAACGCCGCGUGAGUGAUGAAGGCUUUCGGGUCGUAAAACUCUGUUGUUAGGGAAGAACAAGUGCUAGUUGAAUAAGCUGGCACCUUGACGGUACCUAACCAGAAAGCCACGGCUAACUACGUGCCAGCCGCCGCAGUAA